UAGGGAAUCUUCGGCAAUGGGGGGAACCCUUACCGAGCAACGCCGCGUGAGUGAAGAAGGUUUUCGGAUCGUAAAGCUCUGUUGUUAAGGAAGAACGAGUGUGAGAAUGGAAAGUUCAUGCUGUGACGGUACUUAACCAGAAAGGGACGGCUAACUACGUGCCAGCAGCCGCGGUAAUACGGAGGUCCCGAGCGUUGUCCGGAUUUAUUUGGCGUAAAGCGAGCGCAGGGGGUUAGUAAAGUCUGAAGUGAAAUGCAGUGGCUCAACCAUUGUAAGCUUUUGAAACUGUUUAACGUGGGUGUAGAAGGGGAGAGUGGGAUUCCAGGUGUAGAGGUGAAAAGCGUAGAUAUAUGGAGGAACACCGGUGGCGAAAGCGCCUCUCUGGUCUGUAACUGACGCUGAGGCUCGAAAGCGUGGGGAGCGAACAGG
rnacentral:rRNA from 1 species